rnacentral:rRNA from 1 species
AUUGAACGCUGGCGGCAGGCCUAACACAUGCAAGUCGAGCGGAUGAAGGGAGCUUGCUCCUGGAUUCAGCGGCGGACGGGUGAGUAAUGCCUAGGAAUCUGCCUGGUAGUGGGGGAUAACGUCCGGAAACGGGCGCUAACACCGCAUACGUCCUGAGGGAGAAAGUGGGGGAUCUUCGGACCUCACGCUAUCAGAUGAGCCUAGGUCGGAUUAGCUAGUUGGUGGGGUAAAGGCCUACCAAGGCGACGAUCCGUAACUGGUCUGAGAGGAUGAUCAGUCACACUGGAACUGAGACACGGUCCAGACUCCUACGGGAGGCAGCAGUGGGGAAUAUUGGACAAUGGGCGAAAGCCUGAUCCAGCCAUGCCGCGUGUGUGAAGAAGGUCUUCGGAUUGUAAAGCACUUUAAGUUGGAAGGAAGGGCAGUAAGUUAAUACCUUGCUGUUUUGACGUUACCAACAGAAUAAGCACCGGCUAACUUCGUG